UCAGGCCGGGCGGCUGAACCACAGAAGUGGCCAGAGCUUUCUUGGGAAGGCAGGGAUUGGGUGUCUGGGGCUUCAGAGGAAACCAGGAGAACUGUAACUGCUACCUCAAGGGAGGCCCUAGGGCCUGCCCUAGAAGUGCGGGUGGCAGGGUGUUUUCAGGACCAGCCGGGUUCUCUCCUUCCGCCGGGUACCCGGGGUUGCGCUAUCCUGCGGGAAUCGCCACUCCCUGGCUCUUCUCUUCGCUCUUUGUUUAAUGGCCUAGGCUUUCUGAGACUGGAACCCUCGGUAUAGAGGGGAGUUUUUUUGUUUUUUUUACUUGCCCAAGACCACAAAGCUGGGAGUGAAGCCCAGAGUUUAAAUGAGGAGAUCAGAAGCUUCUCUGACUAGGCGUAGAAGAUCCCCAUGAACCUAGGGAAAAAGACCUUUGUGAUCCAGACUUGAGGCUUAUUUGCAUUUGGUUUAUUCCCAUGGAAAUACAUAAAGCAUUCCAUGGUAGUUGUCAUCAUUCAAAAUAAACACCAAAGUUAACAACACCCUUCUUUGGGCAUUCUUCUUAUAGUCUAUAUUUGGCCCAACUUCUUGUGAAAUACUCCCUCUUUAUUUUAUCAUUUCAAUAAAAAAGACAUGUCUUGCUGAAUUCAUGAACAACUCCCUCAAUUAUUUAUAGUCUCAUCACAUGAAUAUUGGAUGUAAUUUGGACUUGUCAAAUGAUAUAGUUCACCUAUACUCCUAACCUUAAGCAAGUUGUAUGACUUCCAUAUAUCUGACUGUCUCUGCAUAACAUGAAAGCUUUGAACUAGGUAAACUUUCAACCUUAUUUCUUAUUUAAAUGAUUCUAUGAAUUCUAUUAAAAUGAUUCUGUGAAUUCUGUUACCUACCACCUGCUCCCCCCCCCCCCCACUCUGCAUGUUUUCUUUCUCUAUGUCUUGGGGAUCUAUCUCAGGGCCUUAUGUGGCUAUAUUCUCCAGCUCUUAAACCCACUCACCUCUCUGAGAAUGGUAUUGAGAAUAGACAGUAGAAGUCCCUUUCACUACGUUAGCCUGGUUUGAAAAUGCCAGUAAUUUCUGAACGUCUCUUUUUGGACAGGAAAAAAACUCUGCUCUGAACUUUUUUUUUUUUUUUUUCCUCCUCGUGAAAGCAGCAGACGCUGAGCAGCAACAGCCUUUGGAGAGAUGCUGAGUUUUUCUUGACUUCUACAGUGAUAAAGACCCUGAAAAAGUUACUACUUCUGGCCUGUGUGGCCAUCAUCUUACCACUCAUCCCCCAAGACAACCCAGCCUGAACAUUAGUGCCUCCCUCUUUAUUCCUCUGUGAUCAUCCAGAUCAAUGCUUGACUGUUUAUUUUCAAAUUUCACAAGCCCAGCCCCAGAUCUUCAUAUUCUGGUUCUCAGCUGCUCUUGAAGCCUCUCAAGUCGCUGGGAUCACAGGCCUACACCACUGUACCUGGCAUUGUUCAUUACCUUUAAAGAAGGACAUACAAAAGUGAAUGUGUACACAUAACAGUGACCUGUUACCACAGUAGCAGAGUCUGAUAUCCCCAGCAGAUCUCCAGUUGCUUCUAACAUCACCUCCCUCCCUUAUCUCCCUUUGUGGCCUCCUAAAUGCCCAUCUCGUUGGCCUGGGUUCAGUUGGUGGUAUGGAGGGGUGCUGCCUAGCACUGACCUGGGAGUGUGUGUGACCUACUGACCCAAUGGACAUCAAAGGCCAGUUCUGGAAUGAUGAUGAUUCAGAAGGAGAUAAUGAAUCAGAGGAAUUUCUCUAUGGAGUUCAGGGGAGCUGUGCAGCUGACCUGUAUCGACACCCACAGCUUGAUGCAGACAUUGAAGCUGUGAAGGAGAUCUACAGUGAGAACUCUGUAUCCAUCAGAGAAUAUGGAACUAUCGAUGACGUGGACAUUGAUCUCCACAUCAACAUCAGCUUCCUCGAUGAGGAAGUAUCUACAGCCUGGAAGGUCCUCCGGACAGAACCUAUUGUGUUAAGGCUGAGAUUUUCUCUCUCCCAGUACCUUGAUGGACCAGAACCAUCAAUUGAGGUUUUCCAGCCAUCGAAUAAGGAAGGAUUUGGACUGGGUCUUCAGUUGAAAAAGAUCCUGGGUAUGUUCACAUCCCAACAAUGGAAACAUCUGAGCAACGAUUUCUUGAAGACCCAGCAGGAGAAGAGGCACAGUUGGUUCAAGGCAAGUGGUACCAUCAAGAAGUUCCGAGCUGGCCUCAGCAUCUUCUCACCCAUCCCCAAGUCUCCCAGUUUCCCCAUCAUACAGGACUCCAUGCUGAAAGGCAAACUGGGUGUACCAGAGCUACGAGUUGGGCGCCUCAUGAAUCGUUCCAUCUCCUGUACCAUGAAGAACCCCAAAGUGGAGGUGUUUGGCUACCCUCCCAGCCCUCAGGCAGGUCUCCUGUGCCCUCAGCACGUGGGCCUCCCUCCCCCAGCACGGACCUCUCCUUUGGUCAGUGGUCACUGCAAGAACAUUCCCACUCUGGAGUAUGGAUUCCUUGUCCAGAUCAUGAAAUAUGCAGAGCAGAGGAUUCCAACAUUGAAUGAGUACUGUGUGGUGUGUGAUGAGCAGCAUGUCUUCCAAAAUGGUUCCAUGCUCAAGCCAGCUGUCUGUACUCGUGAACUGUGCGUCUUCUCCUUCUACACACUGGGAGUCAUGUCUGGAGCUGCAGAGGAGGUGGCUACUGGAGCAGAGGUGGUGGAUCUGCUGGUGGCUAUGUGUAGGGCAGCUUUGGAAUCCCCUAGAAAGAGUAUCAUCUUUGAGCCUUACCCCUCCGUGGUGGACCCCACUGAUCCCAAGACUCUGGCCUUUAACCCUAAGAAGAAGAAUUAUGAGCGGCUUCAGAAAGCUCUGGAUAGUGUAAUGUCCAUCCGGGAGAUGACCCAGGGCUCAUAUUUGGAAAUCAAGAAGCAGAUGGACAAGCUGGACCCCUUGGCUCAUCCUCUCCUGCAAUGGAUCAUCUCUAGCAACAGGUCACACAUUGUCAAACUACCUCUCAGCAGGCAGCUGAAGUUCAUGCACACCUCACACCAGUUCCUCCUGCUGAGCAGCCCUCCUGCCAAGGAGGCUCGGUUCCGGACCGCCAAGAAGCUCUAUGGCAGCACCUUUGCCUUCCAUGGGUCCCACAUUGAGAACUGGCAUUCAAUCCUGCGCAAUGGGCUAGUCAAUGCAUCCUACACCAAACUGCAGGAAUGGGAAAAGGACAGCACAGGAUGCCCUCCAAGGAUGAGCUGGUCCAGAGAUAUAACAGGAUGAAUACCAUCCCCCAGACUCGAUCCAUUCAGUCAAGGUUCCUGCAGAGUCGGAAUCUAAAUUGUAUAGCACUUUGUGAAGUGAUUACAUCUAAGGACCUCCAGAAGCAUGGGAACAUUUGGGUGUGCCCUGUGUCCGACCAUGUCUGCACAAGGUUCUUCUUUGUAUAUGAGGAUGGUCAGGUGGGCGAUGCCAACAUUAAUACUCAGGACCCCAAGAUACAGAAGGAAAUCAUGCGUGUGAUCGGAACUCAGGUUUACACAAACUAAGGGGGCCCCAGCCCUCGUACCACCCUGUUCCCCCAGGAUCCAUCUGCCCUCAUUAAAGGGCUCAGGAGCAGCAGGUGAGGCUGCCCUGAGGAAUCAAGAGGCCAUUGUCAAGGGGCAGGAAAAGGAUAGAAGAGACAACCUUCAUGGUGGAGACUGACCCAGGAACCAUUCCACAUUUGAUGGCCCAGACUGAUUCCAACCCCUGAUUUGCCCAAUUGACUUCACUCUGUUUGUAAAUAAAACAAUAAAAUGGAAGGUGCUGUGGACUGGA